rnacentral:rRNA from 1 species
UACGUAGGGGGCAAGCGUUGUCCGGAAUUAUUGGGCGUAAAGAGCGUGUAGGCGGCCAGGUAGGUCUGCUGUGAAAACUCGAGGCUCAACCUCGAGCUGUCGGUGGAAACCAUCUGGCUAGAGUCCGGAAGAGGAGAAUGGAAUUCCUGGUGUAGCGGUGAAAUGCGCAGAUAUCAGGAAGAACACCGGUGGCGAAGGCGACAUCCUGGACCGGUAUUGACGCUGAGGCGCGAAAGCCAGGGGAGCAAACGGG